GGAGGUAACUGAAUCAUAGGGGCAGGUUUUUCCUGCACUGUUCUCAUGAUAGUGAGUAAGUCUCCCAAGAUCUGAUGGUUUUAUAAAGGGCAGUUCCCCUGCACAUGAUCUCUUGCCUGCUGACAUGUAAGAGAUGACUUUGCUUCUCCUUCGCCUUCUGCCAUGACUAUGAGGCCUCCCCAGUCAUGUGAACCUGAACGAUGAAAUGACAUGCGUUUGGAGAAUGUGUGGUGGAUACAAGAGCAUAUUAAUGUUAAACUCCAAAAAUAUUUUUAUCUCAAAGAUUGAAAACAAGAUAAAGAUGAAGGACUCUACAAAAUAGAAGUCAAUUGUGGAAGGAAAUGUCAUAUUCAACAUCUUAAUGAGGAAUAGGGUCGAGGAGUGAAAAGAAGACAGGAUUCAGUCAGAAGAGCUGAGUUCUGGUUCCUCCACAUAAUACCAUGGCUGUAGAAGUGACACAUAUUCUAAGCCUCAAUUUUUUGGCUGACUUUCCUCAUUCAUAAGGUUGUUGUGAAAAACAAAGCAAAACUAAUCAAUAUGAGUAAACUGCUAUGAAACACUGUCUAUUAUAUGUUUUCUUGAUAAACAUUUAUUGAGUGCUGUCUUUCAGUUGGUCUCCUGUGUUAGUAGCUUGUCAUACAGAGCUUCAAGAAGUCAAGCUUCAGGCCAUAGUCACAAAGAAUUCAGCUCUGAUUUGGAGAGAUAAAUAAGUACUUAGGGUGAGGUUGUGUACUAACAAACCCACUGUAAAGUCAAAAAAUUGUAAGCCAAACCGUCAAAAGUAAGAGACUGUAUAUGUAACUAUGUGUGUGUGUGUUGUUGUUUUUAAGAUGUGUUUUGGACAAACGAAAGUAAAAUCUCAUUUAAAAGAUUGAUUUUAAAAGCUUCCUCAAAGUUUUGUCAGUGCAUUAUUAGAGAUCCAGCCCAAUAUUUGUCAUCAUUUGUAUCUAUUAUUGCAGACAAUGAGAAUAAAUGUUUACAAGGUGAUGCAGCUAUGCUAUGUGAAUCACCAAAGAUUAAAUAAUCAUCAGUAUACAUUUGUGUGACAUAUUUUUGCUUGUAUUUUAUAGAUGUAAAAACAAAUAAUUCAUCUAUAAUAAAAAUGAUUGGCUGGGCGCAGUGGCUCACGCCUGUAAUCCCAGCCCUUUGGGAGGCCGAUGUGGGCGGAUCAUGUGGUCCGGAGACCGAGACCAUCCUGGCUAACAUGGUGAAACCCCGUCUCUACUAAAAAUACAAAAAAUUAGCCGGGCGUGGUGACAGGUGCCUGUAGUCCCAGCUACUCGGAAGGCUGAGGCAGGAGAAUGGGUGAACCCCAGAGGCGGAG
rnacentral:lncRNA from 1 species